CAUGGCUCAGAUUGAACGCUGGCGGCAUGCUUUACACAUGCAAGUCGGACGGCAGCACAGAGAAGCUUGCUUCUUGGGUGGCGAGUGGCGAACGGGUGAGUAACAUAUCGGAACGUACCGAGCAGUGGGGGAUAACUAAUCGAAAGAUUAGCUAAUACCGCAUAUCUUCUGAGGAAGAAAGCAGGGGACCAUUUGGCCUUGCGCUGUUUGAGCGGCCGAUAUCUGAUUAGCUAGUUGGUGGGGUAAAGGCCUACCAAGGCGACGAUCAGUAGCGGGUCUGAGAGGAUGAUCCGCCACACUGGGACUGAGACACGGCCCAGACUCCUACGG
rnacentral:rRNA from 1 species